GGUAACAUUUCUAGCUUGCUAGAAGAUGACGAGUGGCGGACGGGUGAGUAAUACUUAGGAAUAUGCCUUUGUGUGGGGGAUAACUAUUGGAAACGAUAGCUAAUACCGCAUAACGUCUUCGGACCAAAGGGGGCUUCGGCUCCCGCGCAAAGAGUAGCCUAAGCGAGAUUAGCUUGUUGGUGAGGUAAAGGCUCACCAAGGCGACGAUCUCUAGCUGUUCUGAGAGGAAGAUCAGCCACACUGGAACUGAGACACGGUCCAGACUCCUACGGGAGGCAGCAGUGGGGAAUAUUGGACAAUGGGGGCAACCCUGAUCCAGCCAUGCCGCGUGAGUGAAGAAGGCCUUCGGGUUGUAAAGCUCUUUCAGAUGCGAAGAUGAUGACGGUAACAUCAGAAGAAGCCCCGGCUAAUUUCGUGCCAGCAGCCGCGGUAAUACGAAAGGGGCAAGCGUUGUUCGGAUUUACUGGGCGUAAAGGGCACGCAGGCGGUCUUGCCAGUCAGGGGUGAAAGCCCGGGGCUCAACCCCGGAACUGCCUCUGAUACUGCAAGACUAGAGACUAGGAGAGGGUGGUGGAAUUCCCAGUGUAGAGGUGAAAUUCGUAGAUAUUGGGAGGAACACC
rnacentral:rRNA from 1 species